ensembl:miRNA MIR548AG1 microRNA 548ag-1
GUGCAAAGGUAAUUGUGAUUUCUGCUUUUAAAGGUAAUGGCAAAUAUUACAUUUACUUUUGCACCA